rnacentral:rRNA from 1 species
GGAAUAUUGGACAAUGGGCGAAAGCCUGAUCCAGCCAUGCCGCGUGUGUGAAGAAGGUCUUCGGAUUGUAAAGCACUUUAAGUUGGGAGGAAGGGCAUUAACCUAAUACGUUGGUGUCUUGACGUUACCGACAGAAUAAGCACCGGCUAACUCUGUGCCAGCAGCCGCGGUAAUACAGAGGGUGCAAGCGUUAAUCGGAAUUACUGGGCGUAAAGCGCGCGUAGGUGGUUCGUUAAGUUGGAUGUGAAAUCCCCGGGCUCAACCUGGGAACUGCAUUCAAAACUGUCGAGCUAGAGUAUGGUAGAGGGUGGUGGAAUUUCCUGUGUAGCGGUGAAAUGCGUAGAUAUAGGAAGGAACACCAGUGGCGAAGGCGACCACCUGGACUGAUACUGACACUGAGGUGCGAAAGCGUGGGGAGCAAACAGGAUUAGAUACCCGAG